CCACUGUCAUCUGCUCUCCUCUCUUUUACAGACAUGCCUGUUCUGCCCAGUGAUUCCCCAGUGGAGGGCUAUGAUGAUGCCAAGGAGGUUUCUGACCCUGGGGAUCAUCCUUUCCCAGGGCCGGGAGAUUGGCAAGUGCCCAGGGCACAGGAGGAGGGAGAGGGACUCAGGGAUGCUGCCAGAGGAGAGAGUCUGCGCUCUUGGAGAAGUGCCGGAGCCCCUGAAGUUGAUGGAGACACCUCACCCCCGUCCGUUGGGAACACGGGCUAUGAUGAUGCUGAUGAGAUGUCUCUGUCAUGUCCCCAGGGGACAUAAAGGCUGUGACACCAGAGCACAAACAUGCUGAGCCCUGGGACAAGAGAGUCUGUCCCUGCCAUGAAGUUGGGUGUAGACACAAAGGAGAGGUCCGUGCAGCUGGGAGAACCAUGAGUCAGGAGCUCUUUCCAAAUGGGCAUCAGAAACAGCCCUGCAAUUCCUCUAAGUUGUAUUCCUCUGCUUUUAUGUUGUGCAUCCGUAUUGGUUCCUAUUAAAACCCUGUGAGAGCUUU